UACGGGGGGGGGCAAGCGUUGUUCGGAAUUACUGGGCGUAAAGGGCUUGUAGGUGGCCAACUAAGUCAGACGUGAAAUCCCUCGGCUUAACCGGGGAACUGCGUCUGAUACUGGAUGGCUGGAGUGUGGGAGAGGGAUGCGGAAUUCCAGGUGUAGCGGUGAAAUGCGUAGAUAUCUGGAGGAACACCGGUGGCGAAGGCGGCAUCCUGGACCAACACUGACGCUGAGGAGCGAAAGCCAGGGGAGCAAACGGG
rnacentral:rRNA from 1 species